rnacentral:rRNA from 1 species
UACGUAGGGUGCAAGCGUUUGUCCGGAAUUAUUGGGCGAAAGAGCUCGUAGGCGGUUUGUCGCGUCUGCUGUGAAAACCCGAGGCUCAACCUCGGGCCUGCAGUGGGUACGGGCAGACUAGAGUGCGGUAGGGGAGAUUGGAAUUCCUGGUGUAGCGGUGGAAUGCGCAGAUAUCAGGAGGAACACCAAUGGCGAAGGCAGAUCUCUGGGCCGUAACUGACGCUGAGGAGCGAAAGCAUGGGGAGCGAACAGG